GACGAACGCUGGCGGCGUGCCUAAUACAUGCAAGUCGAGCGCAGGAAACUGACGGAACUCUUCGGAGGGAAGGCAGUGGAAUGAGCGGCGGACGGGUGAGUAACACGUAAGGAACCUGCCUCAAGGAUUGGGAUAACUCCGAGAAAUCGGAGCUAAUACCGGAUAGUUCAACGGACCGCAUGGUCCGCUGAUGAAAGGCGCUUCGGCGUCACCUUGAGAUGGCCUUGCGGUGCAUUAGCUAGUUGGUGGGGUAACGGCCCACCAAGGCGACGAUGCAUAGCCGACCUGAGAGGGUGAUCGGCCACACUGGGACUGAGACACGGCCCAGACUCCUACGGGAGGCAGCAGUAGGGAAUCUUCCACAAUGGACGAAACUCUGAUGGAGCAACGCCGCGUGAGUGAUGAAGGUUUUCGGAUCGUAAAACUCUGUUGUAAGGGAAGAACACGUACGAGAGGAAAUGCUCGUACCUUGACGGUACCUUACGAGAAAGCCACGGCUAACUACGUGCCAGCCGCCGCUGUAAGAC
rnacentral:rRNA from 1 species